CAGGUCUUCGGAUGCUGACGAGUGGCGAACGGGUGAGUAAUACAUCGGAACGUGCCCAGUAAUGGGGGAUAGCUCGGCGAAAGCCGGAUUAAUACCGCAUACGCCCUGAGGGGGAAAGUGGGGGACCGCAAGGCCUCACGUUAUUGGAGCGGCCGAUGGCUGAUUAGCUAGUUGGUAGGGUAAAGGCCUACCAAGGCGACGAUCAGUAGCUGGUCUGAGAGGACGAUCAGCCACACUGGGACUGAGACACGGCCCAGACUCCUACGGGAGGCAGCAGUGGGGAAUUUUGGACAAUGGGGGAAACCCUGAUCCAGCAAUGCCGCGUGUGCGAAGAAGGCCUUCGGGUUGUAAAGCACUUUUGUCAGGGAAGAAAUCCUUUGGGCUAAUACCCUAGGGGGAUGACGGUACCUGAAGAAUAAGCACCGGCUAACUACGUGCCAGCAGCCGCGGUAAUACGUAGGGUGCAAGCGUUAAUCGGAAUUACUGGGCGUAAAGCGUGCGCAGGCGGUUGUGUAAGACAGGUGUGAAAUCCCCGGGCUUAACCUGGGAAUUGCAUUUGUGACUGCACGACUAGAGUGUGUCAGAGGGGGGUGGAAUUCCACGUGUAGCAGUGAAAUGCGUAGAUAUGUGGAGGAACACCAAUGGCGAAGGCAGCCCCCUGGGAUAACACUGACGCUCAUGCACAAAAGCGUGGGGAGCAAA
rnacentral:rRNA from 1 species